rnacentral:rRNA from 1 species
AACGAACGCUGGCGGCAGGCCUAACACAUGCAAGUCGAACGCUGUAGCAAUACAGAGUGGCAGACGGGUGAGUAACACGUGGGAAUCUUCCUAUCGGUACGGAAUAGCUCAGGGAAACUUGGGGUAAUACCGCAUACGCCCUUCGGGGGAAAGAUUUAUCGCCGAUAGAUGAGCCCGCGUCUGAUUAGCUAGUUGGUGAGGUAAUGGCUCACCAAGGCGACGAUCAGUAGCUGGUCUGAGAGGAUGACCAGCCACACUGGGACUGAGACACGGCCCAGACUCCUACGGGAGGCAGCAGUGGGGAAUAUUGGACAAUGGGCGCAAGCCUGAUCCAGCCAUGCCGCGUGAGUGACGAAGGUCUUCGGAUUGUAAAGCUCUUUUGGUGGGGACGAUAAUGACGGUACCCGCAGAAUAAGCCCCGGCUAACUUCGUGCCAGCAGCCGCGGUAAGAC